rnacentral:rRNA from 1 species
UGGGGAAUAUUGCACAAUGUGCGCAAGCCUGAUGCAGCCAUGCCGCGUGUAUGAAGAAGGCCUUCGGGUUGUAAAGUACUUUCAGCGGGGAGGAAGGGAGUAAAGUUAAUACCUUUGCUCAUUGACGUUACCGACAGAAGAAGCACCGGCUAACUCCGUUCCAGCAGCCGCGGUAAUACGGAGGGUGCAAGCGUUAAUCGGAAUUACUGGGCGUAAAGUGCACGCAGGCGGUUGAUUGAGUCAGAUGUGAAAUCCCCGGGCUUAACCCGGGAAUUGCAUCUGAUACUGGUCAGAUAGAGUCUUGUAGAGGGGGGUAGAAUUCCAUGUGUAGCGGUGAAAUGCGUAGAGAUGUGGAGGAAUAACGGUGGCGAAGGCAGCCCCCUGGACAAAGACUGACGCUCAGGUGCGAAAGCGUGGGGAGCAAACAGG